UACGAAGGGGGCGAGCGUUAUUCGGAAUCACUGGGCGUAAAGCGUGCGUAGGCUGUUCAGAAAGUCAGGAGUGAAAGCCCAAGGCUCAACCUUGGAAGUGCUCUUGAAACUUCUGGACUAGAAUUCAGGAGAGGAUAGCGGAAUUCCCAGUGUAGCAGUGAAAUGACGUGAGAUAGUUGGGAGGAACACCAGUGGCGCAAGCGGCUAUCUGGACUGACAUUGACGCUGAGGCACGAAAGCGUGGGGAUCAAACAGG
rnacentral:rRNA from 1 species